UCUCAGAAGGUGGAUCUGCCCAGCCAUGGACGUGAGCAGAGAAAACCAUAGCCAGCUCUUCCUCUCUGCCUCUCCGCUCAGGAUGCUAGAUUUUUUUUUACUAAUAGUCUCUUGCAACUUGUGUGAAUUUGGCAUUGGGCUGUUUCGACCUCCUGUUGGGUGAUGCCGCACUCACGCUCGAGAACCUCGGGUUCUUUAAUGUUAUGAUUGGCACGGUUGUCUGGAUUUGUAAGUGGUGAACAAGAGAAAAGUUACUAUCUCACUUGAAGACAAUGGAUUACUGAUGGUGUAUAUAUGUAAAAUUACUUACUGGUGGUCUUACUUUCAGAUCGCAAGUUUGUCAGAAUCAGACUGGAAAAGAAUUGCUUGGACAUUCUUGGGUAUUGUGGUCCUGUGAUUUUUUAAUAUGCUCAGACACUGUGAGUAGCUAAAUGGUUCCUUGCCUUCUGUUAAAAUAGUGUUGUUUCUGUGGAGCACGUAAAAGAGGAGUCCUAUUUUUGGUUCAGGUUUCUUGCCAAUAAUUAUCCUUUUGGCUGCAUUGUGUUCUUCCGGCAACUAUGUUAAUUGCUCUGAGGUUAAACUCUCUCAUUAUCUACCACGCCUUUCUAAACAUGUGUUGUUGCUAGCUUCAGGUUAAACUCUCAUUAUCUACCACGCCUUUCUAAACAUGUGUUGUUGCUAGCUUCAGGUAAAUCUUCUCCCGGUUAUGCAUGUUUACUAUUUGUCACUUCACAGGGUUCUGAUUCGUGCGUAACAAUUUUUUCUUUGUUGUAAAUAUACACAAGUGGGAUUUCUUAUGUUCUGUAUAUGUACGGAGGCUUCGUAUGUCUUCUUACUCAGGUGUGGUUCUGGUCAGGUCCUGUUAUUGAAGUUAUUGCUGGACGUUAGUCUUCAUAUGGUCUGGAGACCUUUAUAUCAAGAAUUUACCUCAGUUGCCAAUUAGGCUCUUCACUAGGAAGACAGGCUGUGAAAAUGGAAGGAGUUCCUUGACAUAGAAUGGAGCAGCACUCUGCACUCGUGCCUAGAAUUACUGAUAUUUGUAUAUAUGUAACUAGGCUGCCAACUUUGAUUUCUAUCCUAUGUUGUAUGACGUAUAUUGCUACCGGUGACUUCAUGAUUACCCUGAUGUACAAAAAAUGUACCAGUUCUAUCAUCUGUUCUAUAAUGGUGAGCAAUGAGUCGGAACUCUACAAGGUGUUCCAUGUAGUUAUACAUUUCUUAACUCUACAUGUACUCCUAACAGUAAGGUUUUACCCA